GAUGAACGCUAGCGGCAGGCUUAGUACAUGCAAGUCGAGGGGCAGCAUGAUUGUAGCAAUACAAUUGAUGGCGACCGGCAAACGGGUGCGGAACACGUACACAACCUCCCAAUAAGUGGGGAAUAGCCCAGAGAAAUUUGGAUUAAUACCCCGUAACAUAACGAUGUGGCAUCACAUUGUUAUUAUAGAUUUUUCGCUUAUUGAUGGGUGUGCGGCUGAUUAGAUAGUUGGCGGGGUAACGGCCCACCAAGUCUACGAUCAGUAGCUGAUGUGAGAGCAUGAUCAGCCACACGGGCACUGAGACACGGGCCCGACUCCUACGGGAGGCAGCAGUAAGGAAUAUUGGACAAUGGACGCAAGUCUGAUCCAGCCAUGCCGCGUGAAGGAUUAAGGUCCUCUGGAUUGUAAACUUCUUUUAUAAGGGACGAAAAAAGGCUUUUCUAAGUCGUCUGACGGUACCUUAUGAAUAAGCACCGGCUAACUCCGUGCCAGCAGCCGCAGUAACAC
rnacentral:rRNA from 1 species